AAAUGCGAUAAGUAAUGUGAAUUGCAGAAUUCAGUGAAUCAUCGAAUCUUUGAACGCACCUUGCGCUCCUUGGUAUUCCUUGGAGCAUGCCUGUUUGAGUAUCAUGAAAUCUUCAAAGUAAAUCUUUUGUUAACUCAAUUGGUUUCUACUUUGUUAUUGGAGGUCUUUGCAGCUUCACACCUGCUCCUCUUUGUUCAUUAGCUGGAUCUCAGUGUUAUGCUUGGUUCCACUCGGCGUGAUAAGUUAUCUAUCGCUGAGGACACUGUAAAAGGUGGCCAAGGUAAAUGCAGAUGAACCGCUUCUAAUAGUCCAUUGACUUGGACAAUACUUUUAUGAUCUGAUCUCAAAUCAGGUAGGACUACCCGCUGAACUUAAGC
rnacentral:misc_RNA from 1 species